ACGGAGGAUCCAAGCGUUAUCCGGAUUUAUUGGGUUUAAAGGGUGCGUAGGCGGAAUGGUAAGUCAGCGGUGAAAUCUCCCAGCUUAACUGGGAAACUGCCGUUGAUACUGCCAAUCUUGAGUACGGUUGAAGUGGGCGGAAUGUAGCAUGUAGCGGUGAAAUGCUUAGAUAUGCUACAGAACACCGAUUGCGAAGGCAGCUCACUAAGCCGCAACUGACGCUGAGGCACGAAAGCGUGGGGAGCAAACAG
rnacentral:rRNA from 1 species